rnacentral:rRNA from 1 species
GACGAACGCUGGCGGCGUGCCUAAUACAUGCAAGUGGGACGCAAGGAAACACACUGUGCUUGCACACCGUGUUUUCUUGAGUCGCGAACGGGUGAGUAACGCGUAGGUAACCUGCCUAUUAGCGGGGGAUAACUAUUGGAAACGAUAGCUAAUACCGCAUAAUAUUAAUUAUUGCAUGAUAAUUGAUUGAAAGAUGCAAGCGCAUCACUAGUAGAUGGACCUGCGUUGUAUUAGCUAGUUGGUAAGGUAAGAGCUUACCAAGGCGACGAUACAUAGCCGACCUGAGAGGGUGAUCGGCCACACUGGGACUGAGACACGGCCCAGACUCCUACGGGAGGCAGCAGUAGGGAAUCUUCGGCAAUGGACGAAAGUCUGACCGAGCAACGCCGCGUGAGUGAAGAAGGUUUUCGGAUCGUAAAGCUCUGCUGUAAGUCAAGAACGUGUGUGAGAGUGGAAAGUUCACACAGUGACGGUAGCUUACCAGAAAGGGACGGCUAACUACGUG